UACGUAGGUGACCAGCGUUGUCCGGAUUUACUGGGCGUAAAGAGCGCGCAGGCGGCUGGUCAAGUCUGAUGUGAAAGCUCCCGGCUUAACUGGGAAAUUGCAUCGGAAACUGAUCGGCUGGAAGGUGGGAGAGGGUAGCGGAAUUCCCGGUGUAGUGGUGAAAUGCGUAGAUAUCGGGAGGAACACCAGUGGCGAAAGCGGCUACCUGGCCCAUUCUUGACGCUGAGGCGCGAAAGCUAGGGGAGCAAACGGG
rnacentral:rRNA from 1 species